rnacentral:rRNA from 1 species
UACGUAGGGGGCUAGCGUUGUCCGGAAUCAUUGGGCGUAAAGCGCGUGCAGGCGGCCCGGUAAGUCCGCUGUGAAAGUCGGGGGCUCAACCCUCGGAUGCCGGUGGAUACUGUCGGGCUAGAGUGCGGAAGAGGCGAGUGGAAUUCCUGGUGUAGCGGUGAAAUGCGCAGAUAUCAGGAGGAACACCAAUUGCGAAGGCAGCUCGCUGGGACGUGACUGACGCUGAGACGCGAAAGCGUGGGGAGCAAACAGG